UACGUAGGGUGCGAGCGUUAAUCGGAAUUACUGGGCGUAAAGCGUGCGCAGGCGGUUGUGCAAGACAGAUGUGAAAUCCCCGGGCUUAACCUGGGAACUGCAUUUGUGACUGCACGGCUAGAGUACGGCAGAGGGGGAUGGAAUUCCGCGUGUAGCAGUGAAAUGCGUAGAUAUGCGGAGGAACACCGAUGGCGAAGGCAGUCCCCUGGGCCUGUACUGACGCUCAUGCACGAAAGCGUGGGGAGCAAACAGG
rnacentral:rRNA from 1 species